rnacentral:misc_RNA from 1 species
UGGUUCUGGCAUCGAUGAAGAACGCAGCAAAAUGCGAUAAGUAGUGUGAAUUGCAGGCUUUAGUGAAUCAUCAAAUCUUUGAACGCACAUUGCGCCCCUUAGUAUUCUAUUGGGCAUGCUUGUUUGAGCGUCAUUUUACACCUCAAGAUGUACUUGGUGUUGGGCGACUGUCUACUAGAUAGACUCGCUUUAAAUGUAUUAGUGGUGGCUCUACUUGCUUUCACGCAGCACUAUGCAGUCUAAGAGUAGUAGAUGCAGCCCCUAAAGAAAUUACAAGUCUGACCUCAAAUCAAGUAGGGAUACCCGCUGA